GCCAGCCUGAGUGACGCGAUCCAAAGAGCGCUCCCGGGUAGGAAAUUCCCCGGGUGGAACGCCUCGCCAGAGCAGCACGUAGCAGGCCCCCGAGGAGGAUUAACACACUGGCUGAACACUGGGAAGGAACUGGCACUUGGAGUCCGGACAUCUGAAACUUGCAACCCACUCUCUGUGCUAUGACUUCAUUACUCUUUCCCAGCCCAGCCCUGGGCAAGCCCCUUACGAAGUCUCAGGCUACCUGGAUGACCACCCUUUCUUAUGAUGCUGCAAGGAGGGCAGGUGGGCAGAGCCCCGUGCAUCCUGGGCUCAGGCCAGGGACCCAAGAGCUUGGGAGAAGCUGGUUCUCAGACUGAAGGCCAGAGCCCAGCACCUUGUCACCAUCCCGGGGAGCAUCAUGGCACACAACAACCAGAGCCAAGGCUACAGCUAGAGAGUUGACUCCUCUAUUUGAGAUUGACAGGCCUCGGAAGUCAAAAUAAGUGGUUUCCUAGACCGGGUCGAGAGCAAGUCUCUAUUGGUCCCAACUGAGUUUUUUCAGCUGGUUUUUCAACCAAACAGCACCUCAUCUCCCAGUGAGGGGAAGGGAAGGCUGGGCUGAGAGCAGCAAGGCUGCUCAUCUCACCUCUCCCCACCCAGCCAUGCCAGCCGCCUCACCUGGUGGGGAGAGGUGGGCCUCACCUGGGUCCCCUGGCAGUGCUCUGUGAAGGGUCUUGACAUUGCACUGUAAUAAUAAAGGUGUGUGUGAAGUAUCUUUUUAUGGUGACUUUCUAAAACCCAGGGAAUCAUGGGACCAGUUCUGAUGACUCAGCCUGGCUUCCAGUCUCCUCCAGGCCCAACGGUGGCCCCCAGCACUGGUUGGGGCCUGGGAGAGCUGGCCUUGGCUGAAGUGAAGCCACCUACCCUUCAGGCAUAACAGGACAGUGAGAAGGAAGGAAAGCCUGCCUCAACCUCCCAUCAGCCCUGAGCACCCCAGAAGGGGGCCGGCUAGGAGUCUAGGCAUGCAGGAGGCUGACCCCUGACUGGGCUCAUAUCCAGC
rnacentral:lncRNA from 1 species